GCCGGGGCGCUUGUCCAGCAACGUCAACGGUAACUCUUGAAGGGCGGCUCCCGCAGGUGCCGCCCUUCCCUUCUUGA
rnacentral:sRNA from 1 species